rnacentral:rRNA from 1 species
AGAGUUUGAUUAUGGCUCAGAUGGAACGCUGGCGGCAGGCCUAACACAUGCAAGUCGAACGGUAACAGGAAGCAGCUUGCUGCUUUGCUGACGAGUGGCGGACGGGUGAGUAAUGUCUGGGAAACUGCCUGAUGGAGGGGGAUAACUACUGGAAACGGUAGCUAAUACCGCAUAACGUCGCAAGACCAAAGAGGGGGACCUUAGGGCCUCUUGCCAUCGGAUGUGCCCAGAUGGGAUUAGCUAGUAGGUGGGGUAACGGCUCACCUAGGCGACGAUCCCUAGCUGGUCUGAGAGGAUGACCAGCCACACUGGAACUGAGACACGGUCCAGACUCCUACGGGAGGCAGCAGUGGGGAAUAUUGCACAAUGGGCGCAAGCCUGAUGCAGCCAUGCCGCGUGUAUGAAGAAGGCCUUCGGGUUGUAAAGUACUUUCAGCGGGGAGGAAGGGAGUAAAGUUAAUACCUUUGCUCAUUGACGUUACCCGCAGAAGAAGCACCGGCUAACUCCGUGCCAGCAGCCGCGGUAAUACGGAGGGUGCAAGCGUUAAUCGGAAUUACUGGGCGUAAAGCGCACGCAGGCGGUUUGUUAAGUCAGAUGUGAAAUCCCCGGGCUCAACCUGGGAACUGCAUCUGAUACUGGCAAGCUUGAGUCUCGUAGAGGGGGGUAGAAUUCCAGGUGUAGCGGUGAAAUGCGUAGAGAUCUGGAGGAAUACCGGUGGCGAAGGCGGCCCCCUGGACGAAGACUGACGCUCAGGUGCGAAAGCGUGGGGAGCAAACAGGAUUAGAUACCCUGGUGGUCCACGCCGUAAACGAUGUCGACUUGGAGGUUGUGCCCUUGAGGCGUGGCUUCCGGAGCUAACGCGUUAAGUCGACCGCCUGGGGAGUACGGCCGCAAGGUUAAAACUCAAAUGAAUUGACGGGGGCCCGCACAAGCGGUGGAGCAUGUGGUUUAAUUCGAUGCAACGCGAAGAACCUUACCUGGUCUUGACAUCCACGGAAGUUUUCAGAGAUGAGAAUGUGCCUUCGGGAACCGUGAGACAGGUGCUGCAUGGCUGUCGUCAGCUCGUGUUGUGAAAUGUUGGGUUAAGUCCCGCAACGAGCGCAACCCUUAUCCUUUGUUGCCAGCGGUCCGGCCGGGAACUCAAAGGAGACUGCCAGUGAUAAACUGGAGGAAGGUGGGGAUGACGUCAAGUCAUCAUGGCCCUUACGACCAGGGCUACACACGUGCUACAAUGGCGCAUACAAAGAGAAGCGACCUCGCGAGAGCAAGCGGACCUCAUAAAGUGCGUCGUAGUCCGGAUUGGAGUCUGCAACUCGACUCCAUGAAGUCGGAAUCGCUAGUAAUCGUGGAUCAGAAUGCCACGGUGAAUACGUUCCCGGGCCUUGUACACACCGCCCGUCACACCAUGGGAGUGGGUUGCAAAAGAAGUAGGUAGCUUAACCUUCGGGAGGGCGCUUACCACUUUGUGAUUCAUGACUGGGGUGAAGUCGUAACAAGGU